rnacentral:rRNA from 1 species
GAUGAACGCUAGCGGCAGGCUUAACACAUGCAAGUCGAGGGGCAGCAUGACACGGAGAUUCGUCGAAGUGUUGAUGGCGACCGGCGCAAGGGUGCGUAACGCGUGAGCAACUUGCCCGUUUCUGGGGCAUAACCGGUGGAAACGCCGACUAAUUCCCCAUAGUAUUGAGUUUAGGCAUCUUUACUCAAUUAAAGAAUUUCGGAAACGGAUAGGCUCGCGUGACAUUAGCUAGAUGGCGGGGUAACGGCCCACCAUGGCGACGAUGUCUAGGGGUUCUGAGAGGAAGGUCCCCCACACUGGAACUGAGACACGGUCCAGACUCCUACGGGAGGCAGCAGUGAGGAAUAUUGGUCAAUGGUCGAAAGACUGAACCAGCCAUGCCGCGUGAAGGUCACGGCCCUAUGGGUCUUAAACUUCUUUUGUUAGGGAGCAAUAAGGUCUACGUGUAGAUUGAUGAGAGUACCUAACGAUAAGCAUCGGCUAACUCCGUGCCAGCAGCCG